UUUUGAAUGUUCUCCAAAUCAAAAGUCAAGUUUUAGUCCUACUUCCCCUAAGCAGAGAGUUCUUCUCAGCUUAGAGUUUCAUUUCAAAGAACUGAUGGCAAGGAUUUUUCAGGUAGAGUUCUCAUAUUUGAAAGCUUCAUUCCUUCCAAGCACAACUGCGCGCAUAUUGACCUAAUACAGACCUUUUGGUAGAUUCUCAGAAAAUGUUUGACGGUGACCUUGGCCUUCAGGACUUGGCCACCACCCUUAGCUUUCAUGGCCUUUUCCCACAGGGAACCAGAUGAAAAAGGAACUUCAAGCCUGGAAUUAUUCUGUUCAGCCACUUCUCCUGUUGCUUACCAAAGGCUUUGCCAGUGAUAAUACUGAUAAAGGGCAACAUAAACACAUCUGUGUGCGAGUUGCCAUCUGAAAUUAAAGUUAAACACACUUGGUGCUGACCAAUAAACUCUAGUGUUUUUUUCAGAAGCAAAGAGGAUAUUCUUUUUCUCUUGGAGCCUUGGAAAACAGGCAAGAGUAUGAGGUAGGGGAAACUCCAGAGUUUCUAUAUAGGAAGGGACUGAAGCAGGAAUCUACCUAGAAGAGAAGCCUAGGGGACUUGACUCUUUUUUUUUUUUUUUUUCUUGAUAUGAUUUGAAUGCCCCCUUCAAAACUCGUGUGGAAAUUUAAUUGCCGAUGUAAUGGUAUUGGGAGGUGGGCCCUUUAAGAGGUGAUUAGGUCAUGAGGGCAGAGCCCCAUGAGUGGGCUCCUGAUGAAAGGAUAAGUUCAGCCUCCAUUUGCUCUCUGUCUCUAGUGCUCACUUCCACCUUCCACCCUUUCACCAUGAAGGACCCUCACCAGAUGCUGGUGCCAUACUCUUGGACUUCCCAGUCUCCAGAACUAAAAUAAUAUGGCCCAGUUCCUGGCUUUCAAAGAACUAGAGAAAAUCUCAUCAUUGGUACCUCCAAGGCUCUUUGGUUGGUUCUGCAAUCGUAGGAACCCUUACGUGGUCUCCUGAGACAUUCUCCUCUCUCCACACCCUGGUACAACAAUACCCACACACCUGAUGGCAGAGCUUUUAGGUGAGCUUCUCCAUCUUCUGGUUUAGAGUUACCCAGGAAUAAAAAAUAGCUCCUGCAGCUCUGAAUCCUUCAAAUCCCCCUACUGGCCCUUAACUGAUUCUUCCUUAGUGAAUCUGCAGACUUUUGGAUGGGAGACAAAUAUGCACAAACUAUACCUGCAAUUCAAUGUAAGACAAAGGUUACCUGGUACAAUAUUAAUAUGUGCCUGCAUUGGAGAUUUUGGAAUCUUAGGACUUAAAGAAGGGCCUAAUUCAAUUACCUCGGUUCCAGGUGAGAAAACGAAGGCCCAGAAAAGCAAGUGAUUUGCCUAAGAUGUCACAGUGACCAGUGAAGGACCAGAGCUAGCCUAGGCUCUCCCAUCAGCAGUUAGGGCUCUUCCCAGUGUCCUUCUUCCUCUACAUGCUACUUGCCUUUCACUUUACAGAGUCCUAUCUUCUGCAGGGAAAUGCACUGAUACAGUCCCCUGUGCUUUGAUCUUGGUGUUACAAUUACAUCUCUAGAGGAUUCUUAUAUACCAUAGUAUAGUAUGUUUCACAUUUGGUCAUCAUUGGAACUCUCUGUCUAUCUGUGCUCUUACCUGGACUUCCUUCAAAAGAAAUCCAUUCAUUAACAAAUCUUUCAGAAAAAAAUGUCUGCAGCAUUAUCAGAAGUUAAUCAUUUAAAUCUAAAGGAUAAAGGAAAAGGUUAGGCAUAGUGGAUUAAAGAGUUCUUUUUUCAACUGGGCGCAGUGGCUCACGCCUGUAAUCCCAGCACUUUGGGAGGCUGGGGCGGGUGGAUCAUCUGAGGUUAGGAGUUUGAGACCAGCCUGACUAACAUGGUGAAAGCUUGUCUCUACUGAAAAUGCAAAAAUUAGCCGGGCAUGGUGGUGCGCGACUGUAAUCCCAGCCACCUGGGAGGCUGAGGCAGAAUUGCCUGAACCCGGGAGGCAGAGGUUGCAGUGAGCUGAGAUUGCACCAUUACAUUCCAGCCUGGGCAACAAGAGUGAAAUUCCAUCGCAGAAAAAAAAAAAAGAGUUCUUUCUUCCAGCUGAAGAUAGUCAAGGGGGUUAUUUUCUACUAUCUUCCUUGGAAAGGUGAGCAUUCAUUUGUUUCUCUGGCACAUUAACAUUCUCAACUAAGGUCAGUGGAUUGGUUAGAACUACAGGUCUGAUUUUCUUCAAGAGAACCCUCAAGAUUUCUGAUUUUACUUUCUUCCAAAGGAAAUGUGUAUUUUUUCCUCAAGUAAUGAUCUUCAGGGGUAUAUUCCCCCUAAGUAAUAGGUUAGCAAAUUCUGUGAGCUUCAGAACAUCAACUUUAUCUGUGCCUAAGUCUCCAGAUUUUCAUAAUGAACAAUUUUGGUGAUUUCUUGGCUACUAAACUGCUUUUUACAUGAACGUGUUUGAUUAUGGGGAAACUAAUACUGCAGAUGAACAAAAAUGAGAUUUCUAUCCCUUUCCUCCAAUUCUUUUGGCCUAAACAUAUCUCUUUUACUCCAUGAAACACAACUGAAGACUAAUUCUUUUGCAAUGCAGAGGUGAGCCUUCCAGCCCCAGACCUGGCCACACCCAUCAAAAAGACUUUUUUAUUGAUGUAGUUAAUCAUUUGUAUAUUUAUGAAUUCUUUGGAUUAUUUGUGCUUUCUCAAGGGAUAUGUCACAUUUAUUUCUUCAUACUCACAGACCUAGCAUAGAGUAGUUAGUCGGUAAACAUUUCUUGUGUUAAAUUGUUGACUUUUCUUCACUUUUUAUGGAACUUAAUCUUCUGGCUCAAAAAGGAACCUGAAAUGGUCUUACAGUGGCCUGAUCGUACUGUUCCACACUAUAUGUGUAGAGUAGAUAAAGGCAGAAGGCAGGGCCCAUUUAUGCUUUUGAAACAAAUGUAGUGAGCAUGAAUUUGUUUCACAAUCCACAGGUACCUGAAAUACCAUAUUUCUUUACCUUUUACAAAUCUAAUUCCAAGUGAAUAAGCCUCUCCCAUUCGGGCUGACAGAAAACCCAAACUCAGUCAUUCUCUGGCCGCCAUCACCAAGAUGAGAAGACUGGGGCUUGUGAAAUCUAUUUGGGGAAGGGCCUCUGGUCUGUCCCACAAUCUUGAAUCACAGAACCUUGAAAUACAUUAUCCACCCCCA
ensembl:lncRNA